rnacentral:lncRNA from 1 species
GGCACGGGACCCGCGCUCUAGGAGGGCGCAGCGAGAGGCGCACUGCGCACCCAGGGGCUGCGGUCCCGGCCGCCGUGCGGUGACAAGCUGACUCCCCGCCGCCGCCCAGCCAAGUCCGCGCGGGGUGCUGGCGGAGAUGUCGCAUGGGAGGCUUCUUCAACGAGGAUUAGAACAUCCGACAUUAAAAUGUCUCAGUGCAGCAGAAUUUCCCAGCGACUUCGGUGGCGGGAGAGCAGCACCUCUCAGGCACAGCUGUGCGCAUCCCUCGGGCCCCACCGACCGCACCAUCUGACCGCGGGAAACGAAAUCUGAGCUCAGGAAUUUGAACUGCCCCACGCACGUUCGUUCCCGGAUAAAUCUCCUAGAGGACCGUGAUUUUUCCACUUAGAGAUUAUUUAGGGAGAUGUCCUGGAUGGGACAAGUAGACAAAUGGCGGCCCGAGGAAAAUGCAGGAAACUCUACAUUGUAGACGCUUAAGCACCAACUGUCUGGGCCCCGGGGCAGGGAACGGGAGACAUUAUCCACCGGAAACAUCACACCCCCGGGGCUCCUGGCAUUUUCUACAUCAGUGAAUGUGCCAGCGAAGAAGAGUGUGGGGAAAUUUUCUGAACAUAGAAUUCAUAUUCCUGAAACGUUAAGUCGUGAAGUGGGUGCUUCAGCUGUCCCCCAGCUUUAGGAUUUUAACCCAGCUUUGGUUUUGAUCACCGAGAGUUAUUCCUUAUAAUCAAAUCAGCAAAAGCGUUCAAUUACCUAUUACUGGUUGAGAAAGAUUCCGUUCCCCCAGCUCAUUGUAUCGGUUCUUGGACCCAAGAUGUUAAUUAUCGGCCAGGCAUUCACAGGGGGUUAAUAUGGCCCCCCUCGACACCUUGCCUCGUACCAGAGACACCAAAAGCUGCCGCUGAGGGAUAAUAGAGAAUGGGAAAAGCUGGUCAUGAAAAACCUCUUUUAUUCUUACUUGCAAGCUACCCUUUUGACAUUCUUUUUUUAACACUAAAUGGAGAUUACUGAAUUGAUAACUUUUGGGUUUUCUCUGUCACACUGGGGUUUUUUUCCCCCCGUUUGUUUGUAAGGUUUUUUUGGUUUUGGUUUUGGUUUUGGGGGGAGGGGAAGGGGGAAGUGGAUAGGGAGAUGGAAGAGUGUUCUGUUACUGGUUUUAUCAAAUCCUGUUAGGUCUUGUUCUUCAGUGUAAUGUAGAAUGGAGAAGUUGCAUAAGUACAUGAUUGACAAACAAGGUCUCUUAGAAGAGAGUUAAGGAGUAGGAAAUAUAAUGUGUCCUGGAGAAAAAGAAAGAGAAAACCCUUAGUAUGACACACUGGCCUUUAAAUAGAGGACACAUGAA